GCUUACCGCCAUACCACCCUGAACACGCCCGAUCUCGUCUGAUCUCGGAAGCUAAGCAGGGUCGGGCCUGGUCAGUACUUGGAUGGGAGACCGCCUGGGAAUACCAGGUGCUGUAAGCU
rnacentral:rRNA from 1 species